UACGUAGGGUGCAAGCGUUGUCCGGAAUUAUUGGGCGUAAAGAGCUUGUAGGCGGUUUGUCGCGUCUGCUGUGAAAUUUCGGGGCUCAACCCCGAACUUGCAGUGGGUACGGGCAGACUAGAGUGUGGUAGGGGAGACUGGAAUUCCUGGUGUAGCGGUGAAAUGCGCAGAUAUCAGGAGGAACACCGGUGGCGAAGGCGGCCCUCUGGACGGUGACUGACGCUGAGACGCGAAAGCGUGGGGAGCAAACAGG
rnacentral:rRNA from 1 species